rnacentral:tRNA from 1 species
GGGCCCGUAGUAUAGUGGUAAAAUGCCUCCAUGGCAUGGAGGAGUCAGGGGUUCGACUCCCCUCGGGUCCACCA